rnacentral:lncRNA from 1 species
CUCCCCAAAUGGAAGAGAACCAGGAUUGGAGUGGAGAAUUGCCGAUGUACAAGUGAUGUGGCAUUUGGUUCAAUUCUAAGCCAUCAGGCCACUUGUUGACAUGACCUAGAGAAGAUGGAAGUGAAACACCGAGUCAUUAAACAGGGACCCCAAAAUGCCGAAUUGACGUGAUCUGGCUGGGUCCACUGUGAUGCGGGGAAUCACCCGUCAGCCCCUUGCUGGAUCGCUGUGAGGGGUACCUGGGAAGUGCUUGGCUUUCAUGGGGCUGGUACUUAGCAUCCUGAAGAAGAUGGUGAUUAUACUAGAUGGGCGGUUAUUGCUAGGACUUGCAGGUGUGCUUGGCAAAUGUCACUCUGAACUGAGCUG